CCCUCUGCGGAACACACUCGGCCCUCUUUUAUUAGAAUAUUUUCGGUGUUAUCUAUGUAUAACUUUGGCUUGAACUCCAACCGUGAAGCCUAUGGAGAGAAUGUUAUCUAUGGAAUAGGCAGAGAUUAAUUCUUGUUCGUGCUCGGAACCACCUAAGAGGGUGCCUGUCAUCCAUGGAAAAACAUGGUGGACGUUUUUACCAGAAUAGGCUCCUCUGAAUUCAACACAGUUAUCCCAGUGUUAUUGCCACUCAUCGACAUGGUUGAAGCUAGUUUUGGACAUCUUUAAAAUUUAAGAUGGGUUGUUGUGCUGUGUAGUCUGGUAGAAGUUUACCGACAUUUCAGAGUGCAAUCAUGGCAUCUGCAGGUUCAGUCACCACGAAGUCACUAUCAUCUUCAUCAAGAUUACCGUAAUGAGGUCCCUCUGUCUGAAUACACAAUGAAUAGACAGAAUCAAAUAAAUAUAAUGUUCAUCAUUGGAAACAUGAUGUUUUAAAAUGGGAUACAGUUCUGCUGUUUAUAAAUUGUCUAUAUAACAGGCAAGUGUUGGUUUGCAAUCAUUUUUUGUGAAGGGAUUUUGGCCCUUUAUAACAAUAAUUAUGACUAUGUGGCCUACUAGCCGCGCGGUCUGAGG